UGGGAGCUGUGCUUCAUGUACUCCAACAGUCCCUAUCUAAAAGCUUUGGUUUUUUUCCGGAGUUUUGUUUCGACGACAAGGUUUUUCCCUCUUCCUCAAAGGCUGUCAUUACUUUCAAGACAGUACUUCUUGAUACACCAAACAUUUCGGCUGUUUUUGUUACGCUAGCACCUGCCAUACGAGCACCAACAAUUUGACCUCUUUGAAAGUCCGAUAGAUCUGUCCUUUUAAUGUAUGUUAAUUGCCUUUUUCUGAAGAUAUCUGAAAAGAAACAGCAAUUUUAGCAAAACAUAUUAAACAACACAAAUAAUAAAUAAAAAACAUAAA